rnacentral:misc_RNA from 1 species
AAGUCGUAACAAGGUAUCCGUUGGUGAACCAGCGGAUGGAUCAUUACCUGAACAACUUACGCCAAUUGUGGUGUGGCUAACUGUUGGUUAGCCUCUGGUUUGGUUGGUUAAUCAACCUUCCAGAACUUGUGGUGUGCAAUGAGUCGCACGCUUGAUGAGUGAAGGGAUUGCUGGAACGGACUCUUGGCGGAGUCCAGGUGAGAUGCCUCCUCAAUCCCACUGACUGCCAUUGACUUCACUGAAGCGAUUGUCGUUAAAGAUGACAACUGCUGGCCGUGGAUCACUUGGCUGACG